ensembl:lncRNA
AGCUAACAUCAGCUGCCAAUCUUCCUCUUUUUGCUUGAGGAAGAUUGUUGCUGAACUAACAUCUAUGCCAAUCUCCCUCUGUCUUGUAUGUGGGAUGCCACCACAGCAUGGCUUGAUGAGCAGUGUACACACUGCUCUGUGUACUGGAUCCAGUCUGUGCCUGGAUGCAAACCCCGGGCCCCUGAAGCAGAGCAUGCAAACUUAACUACUAUGCCACCAGGCCAACCCUGGCUUUCUGGUUUUUAAUACCAUUUUCAUGGAAGGUGGAAGGUUCUUUUAGAUUCCUCCUAAUCCAUCCCAUUUUAAGCAUCACUAAUGCCACCAAUCAAAACCACUUCCUUUUUUCUUUCUUUUUUGCUGGGGAAGAUUUGCCAUGAGCUAAUAUCUGUGCCAAUCUUCCUCUAUUUUUUAGUAUGUGGGUCACCAGCACAGCAUGGCUGCUAGCAGAGUGGUGUAGGUCCACACCUGGGAACCGAACCUAGGCUAUCGAAGUGGAGCAUGCUGAACUUAACUACUCAGCCACGAGGGCUGACCCCAAAACUACUUCUAAUGCUAAUAAACCAAGCCUAAAAUGUUGAUACAGAUGAGGAUGAAUUUGGCUACACACACAUCACAAUCAUUGCACUGAGGCACUGCAAAGUCAGUCCCACAAAGCACAAUAACCCUGUUACCAUGUGUUAUAUAUGUUUGUGGUCAGGAGGAAGCUGAGAAACUGCUUCUUGAUUUUUGGUUGACUCCCUCAGUAUCUCUCUGAGUUGGGUGUUAGGAAGAUGGUGUAUACAUUUGCACAGGGACAAAUAUCUCUUGGGGGCAGGGAGAGCAAGACCCUUCUCCCUUCCCUGUGGGAUUCCAUUUUUCUGUGUGCACGUGCUCACUCUCACACCCGCAUGCAAUAGUGUUGGAGCUUGCUCAGAUUGUGCAGUUUACUGCAGGUACGUUCCAUCUGUGUUCGAUGGCCAUCUAUUGGGCUGUAUGCAGCUUUGGCUUGUUGAGGACCCACUUGAGACCAGACACUGUGCUGUAGAGAUGAAUCUAAGGCAUUUACAGGCUAGAGAAGAUGCAAUUAAUUAUUUUAUUCCUGGUGUGCAUCUCCCCAUUUCUAAAACAAGGAGUGCAGAAGUGCCUGCUCUUCCCCAGUUAAAAAUCAUGGUGUAAAUAGAUAAUAUUUCCUCAGCAUCCAAAAUGACAAAAAUAUUAUCCAACAUAUUUUGCCUGCACUGGGCUGGAAGUCUCUACAGUGGAAUUCGCCAUUGCUAAGACCUCUGUGUAACCAGACGUCUAACCACAGGACACUAGAGCUGCAUAUUAGUUUGCUCUGCCCCUCCACCCAGCCUUGUCACUGCAGAGGAGAAUCAGAGUUUAGAGGAUGUGUUCCGUAAAGGGUGGGAGACAAGUUCCUUUAUGAUGUGUUGACUGUCGUCGUGGGAGCCAGGGGCUACUGCUCUCGGGAUCUAGAAUUCAUUUAUCCAUCAAAUAUGAGUGCCUCCCAGGUGCCGGGUACAGUUCUAGGGCUCUGUGUACAGCAGUGAACAAGACGGACAAGGAUUACACUUCAUGGAGCUUUUCUACAGGAAGGCAGCAGACAUACCCAAACUCUGAGUGUGAUGUGGGGCACAAAGUGUAUCUCAGCUGCUGAGAACAAGAGCGUUGGUAUCCCCAGCCCUUCACUCUGAGGGACUGAUACCCACUGCGGGGGCUCCUGAGAGAGGGGCUGGCCCCGUGGUGGAGUGGUUAAGUUCACGCGCUCCGCUGCAGGCAGCCCAGUGUUUCGUUGGUUCGAAUCCUGGGCGAGGACAUGGCACUGCUCAUCAAACCACGCUGGGGCAGCGUCCCACAUACCACAACUAGAAGGACUCACAACGAAGAAUAUACAACUAUGUACCGGGGGGCUUUGGGGAGAAAAAGGAAAAAAAUAAAAUCUUUAAAAAAAAAAAAGUGCUCAUCUAUUGUAUAUAUAGUUU